rnacentral:rRNA from 1 species
AUACGGAGGGUGCAAGCGUUAAUCGGAAUUACUGGGCGUAAAGAGUACGUAGGCGGUUCGUUAAGUUAGAUGUGAAAGCCCCGGGCUUAACCUGGGAACUGCAUUUAAAACUGGCGAACUAGAGUUGAGUAGAGGGGAGUGGAAUUUCAGGUGUAGCGGUGAAAUGCGUAGAGAUCUGAAGGAACACCAGUGGCGAAGGCGACUCCCUGGACUCGAACUGACGCUGAGGUACGAAAGCGUGGGUAGCAAACGGGAUUAGAAACCCUAGUAGUCC